UUACUUCAAAGUCUACCAAGUAAUAUAAGAGUAUAGAUCUAUUUUGAAGAGUGCUAUAUUGCUACUUGGGGGCAUUUAUGAAACUUGGUACUAUAUUAUUCUCAGUCUUAAACUCUUAAUUGCUCCUGGAUUAUGUAUUGAUGGCUCUCUAGCUUCUCUUUAGUGCAAUUAUUAUUGGAAGGUUUAGUGGCUUAUCGACUUGUCGUUAUAACUUAAAAGGAGAUCGAAGAGACUUUUUAGUCCACUUAGUUUUCAAACUUUUUGUGGUUGAGCAUACAAUAUCCUAAAGCUGAUAUACCUAUUUCUUCAACAAUCAGACUUUCAUCUCCGUAUACAGAAGAAGAUUCAAUAGCAGCAGCAUCUUAGAGAACAAUUUUUUUGACAUACCCUUGAUGUAGUAUCCAUAUGUAGAGCGAGUCUAUUUUCACGUUCCUUUGCCUUUCCACCCUCAUUUCCAGUAGCUUCAUUUUGCAUAGCCACAUGAUCUAGUACAUUAUUGUUUAUCCUGAAAAAAGUAUAAUGCAAGCCAUUACAGUUGUAAUGACAAGCAUGUGUAAGUCAAAUGCCCUUUGAGAUGUUACAAUGCCCUGUGGAAUCCACACAAACUAACAAACUUGUAGGUGAGUACGUCAUGACAGACAUCAGAAUUGACAUAUUAAAUGCACCAAAAAACAGAAUUGACAUAUUAAAAAAUGUAUGCACAAAUGGCAAACUAGAUGGUCUCAAAACACCUAAGUUGUUGUUUCCGUUCAAAACAAAAAAUCCAAGUUGUUGUGUGUUGCCUUUAGGGACAUCCAGUAAAGUUGGAGCAGCCAAAAUUGUUUUUAACCAACAUUGCACUAGCUAGACAAUAAAAUUUGGCUUCAAAUACCAGCUUGAACCUUAUGCAUGCAUCUCAAAAUUCACUUACAGAUCUGAAUUUUCUACCGGAACAUUCAUUGAGCAAGAGGCAUUAUCUUCUUCCAUUGGAGAUUGAGACGUCGAACGUUCUCUAAUAGUAGUUGGUGAUACGAGCAGCAUAGUUCCAGGACCAAUUUCAUUAGGAGGAAUGUUUCUGUUCUUUUCAUAAAUUAGAAUAUCUGCUUCUUCAAAGCCUUGUUCCUGUAGAAUGUUAAAAAGUUGCCUCUGGAGUCUUUCAACAGGUGACAAGAUGUGCUGUCUAAGCUUUGAUCUCUUUCUUCUUGGGACGCUGUCAAGAUUCCAGAGAGGAUCUUUGUCUGCUUCUCCUAACAAAAGGUGAACGUUAAUGCAUACAAAACAAUAAGUUGUAUGAGGAUGAUCCUGCUGAACCUAAGCUUGAUAUGUUAUUCAUUUCCUCUUCAAGACAAGCUGAGGAGCCAUCCUGUCCAGAAACAUCUACUCCAACUUCUAGCUUUUGGUCGUCACGAGCUAAGAGACGCGGCUUCUUCACUGAAGGUGAGAGUUGAAGUCCAUACAGGUGGUGAAAUUGGAUGGAUUUCCUAUUUGGCGAGAGUUUCCCUGCUAUUGAGAUGCAGCAACGACACACUUAUUUUUUCUAUCUUACCUUCCUUGCGAAUUUCUUUUGUCGCCAUUGAUAGAGUUUCAUGUAUCUAAGGAUAUGAUUUUUCCUUUAUAUCAUGCUUACUGAUUUCCAAAUAACAACAACCACUAUGCCUUAAUCCAAGCAAGUUGGGGCGACUCUAUGAAUCCUCAUCAUCUUGCUUCAUUUAAGCUCAUCUCGUCAUGCUUACUGAUGUAAAAAUACUUAUUUCAUAUUUAAGAUUACUGACAUAUU